rnacentral:rRNA from 1 species
AUAUCAGUCAUGCAUAGCAUAUCAAUAAGCGGAGGAAAAGAAACUAACAAGGAUUCCCUUAGUAACGGCGAGUGAAGCGGGAAGAGCUCAAAUUUGAAAUCUUCAAGGUUCUACCUUGACGAAUUGUAGUUUAUAGAAGUGUUUUCUGUUAGUGGAGUGGCAAAAGUUCUUUGGAAUAGGACAUCAUAGAGGGUGAGAAUCCCGUAUUUGGUCAUUCCUCCUAGCGUUGUGAUACACUUUCAACGAGUCGGAUUGUUUGGGAAUGCAGUCCAAAAUGGGUGGUAAAUUUCAUCUAAAGCUAAAUAUUGGCGAGAGACCGAUAGCGAACAAGUACCGUGAGGGAAAGAUGAAAAGAACUUUGAAAAGAGAGUUAAACAGUACGUGAAAUUGUCAAAAGGGAAGCGUUUGACACCAGUGUUGUUUUUCCGAAAAUCAAUUACGAAUGUUUUAGUUUUUAAGAAGUUAUGACUUCAUCGGCUUGCUUCUCUCUUUAUGAAACUUUCUUAAUGCACUUUUCGGUUAACAAGUCAACAUCAAUUUCUUUUGUUGUAAAAGGGUACGAGGAAGGUGGCUUUCUUUUCGGAGAAAGUGUUUAUAGCCUUGUGCCUCUGCAAUCGGAGAGAUUGAGGGUCUGCAGCGUAGAUCCUUCGGGGUUAGAUACAUUUGUGCUAAGUUAUAGCUUUUCAUAGACAACUUGUUGACUAUGUUUAGUCUUGUAGCUUACUCGCUUACGCUAUUUUACCUACGCUUAGGAUGUUGAUCUCUCACAGUCGAGC